rnacentral:rRNA from 1 species
GAUUAACGCUGGCGGUAUGCAUAACACAUGCAAGUCGAACGAACCUUCGGGUUAGUGGCGAACGGGUGAGUAAUACAUUGGUAUCUGCCUCGAAGAGGGACAUAGCCUGCCGAAAGGUGGGGUAAUUUCCCAUAGUCUCCGCAAGGAGUAAAGCAGCAAUGCGCUUCGAGAGGAACCUUUGUCCUAUCAGCUUGUUGGUGAGGUAACGGCUCACCAAGGCUAUGACGGGUAGCUGGAUCGAGAGGUUGAUCAGCCACACUGGGACUGAGACACGGCCCAGACUCCUACGGGAGGCAGCAGUGGGGAAUCUUAGACAAUGGGGGGAACCCUGAUCUAGCCAUGCCGCGUGAUCGAUGAAGGCCUUAGGGUUGUAAAGAUCUUUCAGUGGGGAAGAUAAUGACUGUACCCACAGAAGAAGCCCCGGCUAACUCCGUGCCAGCCGCCGCCGUAA